CUCUUAAAGUCGCUAUGCAAUUCUUCGAUGUGCAGAAGUCUGGUAAGUUGGAGGAUAACAAGAUAUCUUGGAGAGGGGAUUCAGCUCUUCAAGAUGGGAGUGAAGCGAAAUUGGACCUCUCAAAAGGCAUGUAUGAUGCCGGAGAUCAUAUGAAGUUCGGUUUUCCAAUGGCUUUUACUGCCACAGUGUUAUCUUGGGCCAUUCUGGAGUAUGGGUAUCAAAUGAAUGCAGUUAAUCAGCUGGA
rnacentral:misc_RNA from 1 species